rnacentral:tRNA from 1 species
GUCAGCCAUGACGAGCUGGUCCGCGUGGUUCGUCUGUGGCACGAACACGAGUCCCGAGCCGACCCAGACCAGUCGGUUCCAGGAGCCGACCAGCCGAUCCC